rnacentral:lncRNA from 12 species
UUUUAAAGUAAAACCUAAAAAACACCUUUUGGCUGAACUGUCAAAUCUCUGAAGACUUAAAGUUCAGGCAAACCUUUCUCUGGACCCACCUCCUUUAACUGCUGUCUCUCUUUAAGGGAAGCCCCCUCAGGAACAAGGACUUUGUGCAGUGCAGGAUGAUGAGGUACCGGGAAGCCCUGCUCCAGUGGAGUCCCCAGGGACACAAUACUGUCUUCCCCUGGCAGUCCUACAUCAUUGGACAGGUUCCCAGAAAUCACAAGCAGAUUAAACAUUACAGGAUCUUUUCCAUUGCAAUGGCACAGAUUAAUGGUAACUACGCAAAGAGCAAGUGAAUGCACAGCCUAUGGGAGAGGUCACAGAGCACCUUGUUGUGUCACAUGGUGUUGUAGCUGUCCUGAAAGCUACCAGGUGGGUGUUGCAGAAACUUUUAUAUUCUUCUUUUGAAUUUCAGGAAAAUUUAAUGAACUGCUACGAGAUGAUUGCUAAAGGCUUUUAGUCCAGAGAAAGAGAGAAAUGUUAUUUAAACCGUCAGGGAAAGAA